UACAGAGGUCUCAAGCGUUGUUCGGAUUCAUUGGGCGUAAAGGGUGCGUAGGCGGCUCGGUAAGUCAGACGUGAAAUCCCUCGGCUUAACCGGGGAACUGCGUCUGAUACUGGAUGGCUUGAGUUCGGGAGAGGGAUGCGGAAUUCCAGGUGUAGCGGUGAAAUGCGUAGAUAUCUGGAGGAACACCGGUGGCGAAGGCGGAGCUCUGGGCCAUUACUGACGCUGAGGAGCGAAAGCGUGGGGAGCGAACAGG
rnacentral:rRNA from 1 species